AAAUAAAAUGGGCGGGAGGGUGGGUAAAUUUAACGUGUUGAAUUGACCAGUAAACAAUUCGAAAUGACCAGGGAAUAUUUGUAUGAAAAUUUACCUGAAGUGAACAGGUAUUUCUAUUAACCAAUCAAAUGCGAUUAAAUAACGAACGAUAAAUUUUGUACAAACAGGUAACGAGUAAUGUCGAAAGGUAACGAGUAAUGUCGAAAGCAUCCGAGAUGGAAUUAAGUAUUUUUAAUUAAUUAAAAAUUUACCAAUUCCCUCCACUCCCAUUUCGAUGUAAUAAAACAAAACUCAACACAUAAGUAAUGAUAAUCAUAUUUUGGCAUAAAUAAAAAAAUUACAAUCAUACAUAUGUCAUAAAUAAUUUCUCAUUUUAAGUCCAUAUUCUUGAUAAUUAUUAAUUUCCAAAAUAUAUAAAUGCACCAAACCAACGGCCACUAUAAAGUGUUCAGUGUUAAAGAAAAAAACUACAUUAUAAUAUAAACAUACCUGAUAAUACAAACAACAACUACUGGAAUCCUGCAAACUAAUAUAGGUUCACAGGUAAACCAGAUGUAGAAGUAAUGGUCUAGCCCAGCUUUCUUGACCAUCAUCUUCUGAAAAAUAAAAUUAAAAACCACAAAGUAUCUUGACCAAAAAUACAUGUAAAUACAAUAUUCUAUAAUUACAAAUGAUUAACUACACCUAUAAAAAAGUUUCUUAAAACUGAAACACCAAAAUAACUUAAAUGUAAUCUAUCUUUACAAAAACAUUUACUUUUAUAAAUUGAUCCUGGUUGCUGAACAAAUUGCUUAUAAGUUUUGACAAAUAAAAUAUUUUUCUUCAAAGAUAACUUAGCCAAAGCUUUAUUACAGUCUAUUACAGUUUGUUUUGUGUCAUCAAAAUCUAUGGGUCUUGGCAAAAUUGCUGAAACUAUUAUCUUUAAAGAAGGAAAAACAUUGCAAAUAAAAUCAAUUAAAUUAUUAUAAUAUUGAAUAAUCAAUUUACUGGAUAAACCAUUCCCAACAUCGUUUGUGCCUACAUGCAAUAACAAAUGUGUAUAUUUUCUUAAAAGUGAUUUGUUGUCUUUUACAAAUUGUUGAAGAGUGUAUAUAUUAGCACCAGAUAUAGCAUUGCAAUCCAGCCAGUUAAUAUUAUUGACAUAUUUACAAGUGGAAUCUGACAGCAACAAAACCUUAUUUUUUGACACAAAGUCUACAAAAAAAUAAAAUAAGAUAAGGUAAACAAACAAUAUUAAUUCAGAAUUUCAUCAGCCAUAGCUCGUGAAAUAGACAAUUUGUCAUGUAAGUCAAACUCUAAAUAAACUUUAUAUGCGUCACUACGCCAAUCCCGUGAAAUUGUAUUAACUCGGAAGGAACUUUACUGUGAAAAGCCCAUGUAGCCCCUCCUCUGCGAAAAGAAUGAGAGGAAAAUUUGGAAGAAUUUAAACCACACAUUUCUAAAAUGUCCCUUAGUCUUUUCUGAAAAAAUGAAUAACAUAAAGUUUUAUAUCCUUUAGAUUGUGGAAUUAAAAAAGGCGGGUUUAUCACCAUCGGCUGGUAUUAGAGUGCACAUACGAUUGUACGCAUUGUACGGACAAAGCGGAGACUCUUUUAUCUUGACCAAUGGUAACUCCAGUUUCCUAUUACCAAAUUGAAUGGUUUUUGACCAUUCCAUUCUAACCAACAAAUAAUCACUAAAAACAAUAACGUUAUUUCUGCAUAAUUGUUUGUGCGGAUCAAAAUUCUUUGCCGAAGUUGGAACUAAAUUUGACUUUCUAACCAUAAGAAAAAAAGCAAACAGAAAACAGCACCAGAUAGUGACAUCUGACGGAUUAGACAUAUCUAAAAAUUCAUACAUUUUGAAAAAGAAUCUGUGGAGUAAUAGGCAGAGCUCUGCGAGGCAUAUGAUGAUUUUGACGAGACAAACCUCUAAACAAUAACUUUAUGGAAAACCAAUCUUCCGUUGGAAACUCAACUCCUAAUAGCAAAUGUAAAGUCUUGACACCACUAAUAUAAUUUUGAAUAGAAGCUACACUCUUAAAACUCCUACUCAAAAAUUUCCCAUAUAGACAAAGAGUAUUUACAGAAGUAGGCAAAGGUGACAUAUUAAAAUAUGUGCAAAAUAAAAAAAUAAGAAACAAACUGCACUUUCAAAUUCUUGUAAGUUCCUUCUGCAAAAGCAGAUUUUUUACACAACUCCGUGUCUUUCUGUAACUUACAUAGCUCAGUAUCUACAAUAAACAACAUCAAAAAAAAAAAUCACCAAGGUGACGUAAAAUGAAACAAAUCAUCAUCCAAUUCAAUUUCUUUCCACGCAUUGACACGAGCCAGCUUUAAAAACUCUGUGCUCACACCGGGACCCAUAUCCCACCUAGAAAGCAUGUCAGCAAUUCUAUUUGCUUCACCACUCAAAUGCCGUCCUUUUACUUGAAACUCAUGACUAGCUGUCAGAAAACAGAUUUCUCUGAGACAAGAUUGCAUGAACGUGUUUCUGCAAGCACCAGAAUUUAGUACAGUGACAGAUGAAGAAUUAUCACAAUAAAUAACAAUCCUAGAACCUUUAAGUACACUUGCCCAAACUUUCAGACACACACCAUAACACAAAGUAGUUCCAGAGCAUUAAUAUGCAACUGUUGCCUGCGAAUAAAUGCUGGAAAGACUGUAUGAAAAUACCUCCCAUUACAAAUACCUCCACAACCAAUCAAAGUUGAAUCGCAAGAAAGCACACAAUCUGGACUAGACCAGUCAAUAAGAAACAUCAUAGAAACUCCAUUAUAUAUGUCUAGAAACUUGCUCCACCAAACUAAAUCCAACUUAAUAUACUUGGGUACACGUUUUGUAAUAUUUUGACCACCGAAAGUCCGCAACCAAACCAAUAACCUUGAAACAAAAAGUCGCCCAGGGCGAACACAUGAACUCACGAAAUGAAGUUUACCGAGUAAAGAUUGUAAAUCUCUUAAAGAGCAUCUCUCCUUUUGCAACCAACUUUUAACCAAAUAAAGUAUUUCCUCCAACCUAUCCUUAGUAAUAGAUAGAGUACAACUUACUGUAUCAAAGAGUAUACCAAGAAAAACCAUAGAUGUAGAAGGAGGAGCGGCCUUUUCUACCGAUUCCUCUAAACCACAGUUGUCCAAUACUUCACCCAAAAUAGCAUAAGCGUCAAAUGCCUUCUCUUGUACAUCACAACCCGCUAGAUCAUCAAGAUAGUUAACAAUUUGUAAAUCAUAGUGAGCGUCCAAUAUAAAACUAACAGCGUUAGUCACCCUUUGACAAAUAUAUGCAGCUGACCUUAAUCCCAUGGACAAUACCCGAUCAAAAAAGAUAUGAUUUUCCCAUGAAAAUCCAACCAAAUGCCAGUCACCAGGACAGAUUGGAAUUUGUCUAUAAGCCCGCUUUAAGUCCCUCUUAAAACAUAACGAACCAGAACCUUUUCUCCUUAUUAACUCCACCAAAGAGUCAACUGAAGGAUAAGAAACCUUGAUAGGAUUACCCAAAUACAAAUCUUUAGAAAUAUGACUGUUUACUGAGUCCUCACCAUCAACACCAAAACUCAAAUCUAAAAUCACCCUACGAUCUAGAGUAUCCUUCUUCGGCACAGAAUUUAAUGGAGAAAUAACCAUGUCCGUAUUAAAGGGAUUACUAAAAAAAGGCCCAAUUAUGCUACCGUAAGUGCACUCUUUUUUCAAAUAUUUUCUCAUAUCAUCUGGAUGACUUCUGGCUCCAGCAUGAUUCUUUUCUUCAGAUAAACCUGAACAUGAACCUUCACAACUCAAUGGGAACCCAUACUCUAAAAAAUUAGCUAUAUCUGAAUCAUGAUACAUAGAUAACAUAGACCUAAAAAAAAUUGACAUUCAGCUUUGAGUAAACAGGAAUUUUACAACCAAAUACAUUUGGCACGCCUGAACUCUUAACUUGAUUAUGAAAAUGCACAAGAUUUUCAAUACCAUGCUCACCAAAAAUAUGUUUUAAACAUGUUGAACCUUCACAUAUAUUGCAACAAUCUAGAGCACAAACAUUAUCAAUUUUACUGCCAUGUAGUCAUGACUCAUGAUGAGGACACGAUAGAUCUAACUCAGCAUGUGGCAAUUGCUUGUUAUCCUUGAGUUCAAUAGACAAGACGCACAAACAUGUUGCACAUGCCUUGUGACCCCCUUAAUGACCUUAUCAUGAGCACUUGAAAAAGAACAUUUCUUUUUCUGAAAAUCAGAACAGAACCAAACAGACGGUGCUUUUACAAUGGUAGAAGAUUUAUUACCAGUUCUAUUCUGUCUAGAUCUGACGGAACUGGCCAAUAAAGGAGUCUCAAUGUCCGCAGUAUCAUCAGACCACUUAUUUUGACCAGAUUCAACCCGACGUAUCCAGGCAGCAUAGAACUGCAACAAAGCUUUCCAAUCAUACAAUUCAUAAUAAUACGAAAUUUUCUUUAAUAAAGUUAAUCGACCAUUCUUUUCUUUGUCGCUUUUACGUGAUACAAUUAUUUCCAUCUCCCCCGCUACAAAUUGAUGGAAUUUCAAAUCUUCAAACUUUACCUUUUUGUUUGCAUAUUCUAAUUGUAAUUUUGACUGCGGACAGUCCUGUGGAUACUUUGUUUUUGGGAUACGAUUGCUUUUAAGCAAUCUGUAGACUUUUACCGUUGACUCAUGGCUCAUUCCCUCACGUCAACCGUUUUAUUCUAAACAUUCAGCAACAUCUCAGAUUCUUAUGAUUGUCUUGCUUUAAAAGGUAAAAACAAGCAAAAGGAUUGAACAUAAACAACUUUCAUGUAAUGUUCUUCUCAUAAUCUUCAUGUUUGAUUUUUCCCUUGACUUAUAUGCGUGUCUUUAACAACACGGAAAAUCAGAAUUAAGCAGUAUUUAUAUUUAGUGUUUUAUAAAUUUAGAAACACGUCAGAGGGAAUUCCCCAGUUUUGAUAAAUGCGAGAGUUCUUUGAAUUCCGAUAAUUCUAUUUCUGUCAUAUAAGAACUGAAGUGGAGUUUUCUAUAUUUUACCGUUAUGAAACUGAUACUGUACUCUCAUAAAGAAAUUAAGACUCAUUCAUCAUAUCAUAAAUUAAAUAAACGUUCUUGUUCCAAAUCGCAAGUCGCGGGUUUGUUUAUGUAUUAAUGCGCAUGCGUAUAGUUUUCUUGAUUUCAAGGGGUAUCAGAUUGAGUGGUUGUUCUGGAUUCCCCGCUUAUUAAUUAAUUUGAAACUCAUUGGAUUCUUUCUAUGUCUGCCUGCUAUUGAGGGUUUAAUAUUGUUGUUGCAUAAUUUAAAAUCAUAUGCAUCAUUUAAAUUAAAAUCAAUGAAGUUUUACCUAUAACACCCCUUUAGCCGAAAUGGAGUCUUCCAUAUUAUCGUUUCGAGUUGUCUCCCUUUCAGAAGUAUUUCCCGUCAAAAUCGUCAAGAAAAAAUUAACUCGUUAGAUGUCGAUAAACGUCGUAUUAUAUUAAGAACGAUCUCAAUUUAAACAGAGGAGUGUGUACGGAAGGAUUCAUGCCCACUGACCCAAAGGAAAUUAAUAAUUAAAGAGUUAGAAAUGGGGUUCCUCCUAGAAUUAACGGUGAUAAGAUACGAAGUGAAUAGUCCGAGAUUACUGGGUACAAGUCAAAUAGAACCCGAGAUUACUGAAGAUUAAACCAAAUGGGACGACAAGGUUAAAAUCGGCAUCUAGUCAAAUCGGCACCUAUUUAAAAGUCAAUUCGGCAUCCAAUAAUAUUUGAUAUAAUAUAUGGGACUGGGAAAUGGGGUUCCUCCUAGAAUUAACGGUGAUAAGAUACGAAGUGAAUAGUCCCGAGAUUACUGGGUACAAGUCAAAUCGGCACCUGGUCAAAUACAUAGAAAAAGUCAAAUCGGCACCUGGUUAAAUCGGCAUCUAGUCAAAUCGGCACCUAUUUAAAAUUCAAUUCGGCAUCCAAUAAUACUUGAUAUAAUAUAUGGGACUGGGACUAUUUAAGUUUGUAAUUUAAGUAUACUAGCAUAAAAGUCCCCCACGGUCCCAGCUUGUCUGGCAAAUCAGCCGUCGGACAUCAGAGUAAUCUCGAACUAUGAAGUGAAAUACCUUCUCUCUCUCUCUCAGUGACUGCUGUGGAAAGUAAACUUGGAAUUGAUAGCACACAAAUAAAACACAAUAAGUACAUUGCUCGUACACUUGUAUUCAGGAUUAGCUAUUUUUAAAGUUGAGUGACUAUUCAGAUUUAUAUUACCUUUGCAUGUGCAGUUGAAUUAGUUUUGAAAAUAAUACUAUCCAGCUUUAGAAGCCUUAGAAGCCUUACCGAGUCGAAGUAAGGCGUCAAAGAAAAAAAAAUAUAAUAGCCUUUCAAGACGUCAUAAUUAUUUGACUUUCUAUGGGGCCAGGGCUGCCAAAAAUGCGUGAGACUCACGCAUGUUCAUGCUUUUUUGCAGCAGUAUCCUUGAUCAAUUUUUUUCCUCUUUGAUCUUUUCUAUUUUGGCCAAAUCUCACGAAUUUGCUUAAUGAAAAGUUGGCAGAACUGCUAUACAUGUGUCAAUGAAAACUAUAUGGCAAUCGUAUCCCUCAGAGCAUUCUGCUCUUUGAUUUGUCUAGACGAUACCACUAAUCCCGACUUUCUCUUGUUCUUUCUGUAUUUCUUUUUUAUGCUCCUUGUAUAACUGUCCGAUUCGGAACUUGAAUCUUUGCUAUCGGAAAGAGAACUUUCAGAAAUAAUAUCAGAACUCUUUGACUUUUGUUUGUGUUUUUUACUGCGAGUUUUCCUUUUCUUUUUUGAUAAAACAGAACUUUCACUAUCGGAGUCUCCCGAACUGAAACUACUAGUUUGACUUGAAUCGGAUAUUAACUGAUACUCCUUUAAUUGUUCAUGUACAGCCUUUAAUAAUUUUUUGUCGGACCUUAAGUCGUUUAUAUCAAAGUUUUGCUUUAUUAAAGAUUUACCUGACUCUUUCUUUUUCUGUGACCUCUUUUCUUUCUCCUUUUUAUCACCUUUCUUCCCUUUAUCCAUGCCACCGACCGCCUCGUCAUGUUUCUUUAAUUCUUCUAAUUCCGCCUUCUCUCGCUUUAACUGCUCCUUCAAAUUUUGACUACGCAUCUUCUUUUUAAUCAGCUCCUUUUCUUUUAAAACCAAAGCCAAUUCCGCCUCUAUCUUCUCGUCUUCCUUUUCGUCAUAAGAAUCGAGACCACCGGACACUAUUUCUUUGACUUCAUCCAUGUCGCCCUCUGCCGGAAAAUAUGUUGACGAUAACAAACUAAUCGGCCUUGAACUUGUCACUUUCCCUGGAGAACCUAAUGGAGAAAACAGCCCAGAACUAUGAAUGUCUUCUUCUGACGAAGAAUUCAGAUCACCAGUAGUACCAGUAUUAUGUAAUGAGUUGUAGUUAAUGCGUUGAACCUUUCGUGUAUCGUACGGCAUUACAACUGCAUCAUUCAGGUUGGGAGAAAAUGAACAUUCAAUCCUGUCAACUUCCAACUGAGUAACUAUCAGCUCGGACACCACAAUGCAUAGAGCACUCACCAACAUAGAAGUAAACCAAACCAUAAAUUUAACGUGUUGAAUUGACCAGUACACAAUUCGAAAUGACCAGGGAAUAUUUGUAUGAAAAUUUACCUGAAGUGAACAGGUAUUUCUAUCAACGAAUCAAAUGCGAUUAAAUAACGAACGAUAAAUUUUGUACAAACAGGUAACGAGUAAUGUCGAAAGGUAACGAGUAAUGUCGAAAGCAUCCGAGAUGGAAUUAAGUAUUUUUAAUUAAUUAAAAAUUUACCAAUU
rnacentral:lncRNA from 1 species